rnacentral:rRNA from 1 species
UACAGAGGGGGCAAGCGUUGUUCGGAAUUACUGGGCGUAAAGGGCGCGUAGGCGGCCUGUUAAGUCAGACGUGAAAUCCCUCGGCUCAACCGGGGAACUGCGUCUGAUACUGGCGGGCUUGAAUUCGGGAGAGGGAUGUGGAAUUCCAGGUGUAGCGGUGAAAUGCGUAGAUAUCUGGAGGAACACCGGUGGCGAAGGCGGGUCUCUGGGCCGAUACUGACGCUGAGGAGCGAAAGCAUGGGUAGCGAACAGG